CGAGUGACACUGCGCCGAAAAUGUACCGGGGCUAAACAUAUUACCGAAGCUGUGGAUUGUCCGUAGGACAAUGGUAGGAGAGCGUUCUAAGGGCGUUGAAGCAUGAUCGUAAGGACAUGUGGAGCGCGUAGAAGUGAGAAUGCCGGUGUGAGUAGCGAAAGACGGGUGAGAAUCCCGUCCACCGAUUGACUAAGGUUUCCAGAGGAAGGCUCGUCCGCUCUGGGUUAGUCGGGUCCUAAGCUGAGGCCGAUAGG
rnacentral:rRNA from 1 species